rnacentral:rRNA from 1 species
AUUGAACGCUGGCGGCAGGCUUAACACAUGCAAGUCGAGCGGAGUGAUGGUGCUUGCACUAUCACUUAGCGGCGGACGGGUGAGUAAUGCUUAGGAAUCUGCCUAUUAGUGGGGGACAACAUCUCGAAAGGGAUGCUAAUACCGCAUACGUCCUACGGGAGAAAGCAGGGGAUCACUUGUGACCUUGCGCUAAUAGAUGAGCCUAAGUCGGAUUAGCUGGUUGGUGGGGUAAAGGCCUACCAAGGCGAUGAUCUGUAGCGGGUCUGAGAGGAUGAUCGGCCACACUGGGACUGGGACACGGGCCAGACUCCUACGGGAGGCAGCAGUGGGGAAGAUUGGACAAUGGGGGGAACCCUGAUCCAGCCAUGCCGCGUGUGUGAAGAAGGCCUUAUGGUUGUAAAGCACUUUAAGCGAGGAGGAGGCUCUUUUGGUUAAUACCCAAGAUGAGUGGACGUUACUCGCAGAAUAAGCACCGGCUAACUCUGUGCCAGCCGCCGCUGUAA